GUUUCGCUGUGUAGUAAAAGAAGCGAACAAGCUGUGGAGGGCACCAACUUAUGCGGUUUUUGUGAGUUAAGAAUUAGUUGUAUUUCUCACUGAAGCGCGAUUUAUCUCAAAUUCUAUAAAAAUGUCAGACAUAGAUUCAGAAGAAAUGGACGAAGAGCAAAUUUCAUUGGGUACUUAUGAAGGUGGCAGAAAUGAAAGAGAAGAAAGACAUGGCCAGGGAAAAGCAACUCUUCGAAAUGGAGACACAUACGAAGGAAUGUAUGAAAAUGGCAAAAGACAUGGAAAUGGAGUUUACAGGUU
rnacentral:sRNA from 1 species